rnacentral:rRNA from 1 species
UACGGGGGGGGGUAAGCGUUGUUCGGAAUUACUGGGCGUAAAGGGCUCGUAGGCGGCCAACUAAGUCAUACGUGAAAUCCCUCGGCUUAACCGGGGAACUGCGUCUGAUACUGGAUGGCUUGAGUUUGGGAGAGGGAUGCGGAAUUCCAGGUGUAGCGGUGAAAUGCGUAGAUAUCUGGAGGAACACCGGUGGCGAAGGCGGCACUCUGGGCCGGUACUGACGCUGAGGAGCGAAAGUGUGGGGAGCGAACAGG